rnacentral:rRNA from 1 species
AUUGAACGCUGGCGGCAGGCCUAACACAUGCAAGUCGAGCGAGCGGCGGACGGGUGAGUAAUGUAUGGGGACUGCCCGAUCGAGGGGGAUAACUACUGGAAACGGUAGCUAAUACCGCAUACUAUCGGAUAACCCAUAUGGGAUUAGCUAGUAGGUGAGGUAAUGGCUCACCUAGGCGACGAUCCCUAGCUGGUCUGAGAGGAUGAGCAGCCACACUUGGAAUGAGACACGGCCCUGACGCCUACGGAGGCAGCGGUGGGGAAUAUUGCACAAGGGGCGCAAGCCUGAUGGAGCCAUGCCGCGUGUAUUAAGAAGGCCCUAGGGUUUUAAAGUACUUUCAGUCGGGAGGCGUUACCGACAGAAGAAGCACCGGCUAACUCCGUGCCAGCAGCCGCGGUAAUUC